rnacentral:rRNA from 1 species
GAUCAUGGCUCAGGAUGAACGCUAGCGGCAGGCUUAACACAUGCAAGUCGAGGGGCAGCGCGUGUAGCAAUACAUGGCGGCGACCGGCGCAAGGGUGCGUAACGCGUGAGCAACAUGCCCGCAACAGGGGGAUAACCGGUGGAAACGCCGACUAAUACCCCAUAAGGAUGCAGAGCGGCAUCGUUCAGCAUCUAAACUUACGAGGGUUGCGGAUUGGCUCGCGAGACAUUAGGUAGACGGCGGGGUAACGGCCCACCGUGCCGACGAUGUCUAGGGGUUCUGAGAGGAAGGUCCCCCACACUGGAACUGAGACACGGUCCAGACUCCUACGGGAGGCAGCAGUGAGGAAUAUUGGACAAUGGCCGGAAGGCUGAUCCAGCCAUGCCGCGUGAAAAGGAAGACGGUCCUAUGGAUUGUAAACUUCUUUUGUACGAGAGCAAUAAGGGCGUCGUGACGUCCGAUGAGAGUAUCGUACGAAUAAGCAUCGGCUAACUCCGUGCCAGCCGCCGC